rnacentral:rRNA from 1 species
ACUCAAAUGAAUUGACGGGGGCCCGCACAAGCGGUGGAGCAUGUGGUUCAAUUCGACGCAACGCGAAGAACCUUACCUGGGCUCGAACGGCCGUGGGCAGGGGUGGAAACACUCUUUUCCCGCAAGGGACUGCGGCCGAGGUGCUGCAUGGCUGUCGUCAGCUCGUGUCGUGAGAUGUUGGGUUAAGUCCCGCAACGAGCGCAACCCUUGUCCUUAAUUGCCAGUCCCUUUCGGGGGAAGCACUUUAAGGAGACUGCCGGCGAUAAGCCGGAGGAAGGUGGGGACGACGUCAAGUCAUCAUGGCCUUUAUGUCCAGGGCUACACACGUGCUACAAUGGGCGGUACAACGCGCUGCAAACCCGCAAGGGGGAGCCAAUCGCUAAAAACCGUCCUCAGUUCGGAUUGCAGUCUGCAACUCGACUGCAUGAAGCUGGAAUCGCUAGUAAUGGCGCAUCAGAACGGCGCCGUGAAUACGUUCCCGGGCCUUGUACACACCGCCCGU